UACGUAGGGUGCGAGCGUUAAUCAGAAUUACUGGGCGUAAAGCGUGCGCAGGCGGUUCGUUGUGUCGGUGGUGAAAUCCCCGGGCUUAACCUGGGAACUGCCUUUGUGACUGCAAGGCUUGAGUGCGGCAGAGGGGGAUGGAAUUCCGCGUGUAGCAGUGAAAUGCGUAGAUAUGCGGAGGAACACCGAUGGCGAAGGCGACUCUCUGGUCUGUAACUGACGCUGAGGCGCGAAAGCGUGGGGAGCAAACAGG
rnacentral:rRNA from 1 species